UAUUUACAAUGCGACCGUUACUUAAUAUUAUAACCCGGGCGCGAUUCCGUCUCACUCCGAUCAUUGUUAUGCGCUGACCAUCUACGCUGCCCGAAUCGGAUAUUCCGCUCCGACGAAGUCGGUGUUCCAACACUGUGCACACCCGAAACGGUCGACAGAUACCACGACGACGGGCCCUAAUAGAUAAAGCAGAGGUAGAAAAGAAAAAGCCGGGAAAAAACGGGCCUCGAGAAUCGGCAAUGGGAUUCUAAGUGAGUGUAACACCGAUCGGGUUUUCGUUGUCGUGCGGAUUGUUAUCUUCCGGAAGAGUAUGUUCGAGUAUCCGGUCCGACGUAAAGACCGUCUCGGGGACGGCACGUCGCGUAACGAAUAGAUUUUUCUCCUGCGCAUAUAUUAAAUUUCGUAUUUUACGAAAAUUUGUUGCGAGUUUUCACUAAUGUGUUGUAAAUAAUACGUAUAUCGUGCGGUUGUA